GACGAACGCUGGCGGCGUGCCUAAUACAUGCAAGUUGAGCGCUGAAGGUUGGUACUUGUACCAACUGGAUGAGCAGCGAACGGGUGAGUAACGCGUGGGGAAUCUGCCUUUGAGCGGGGGACAACAUUUGGAAACGAAUGCUAAUACCGCAUAAAAACUUUAAACACAAGUUUUAAGUUUGAAAGAUGCAAUUGCAUCACUCAAAGAUGAUCCCGCGUUGUAUUAGCUAGUUGGUGAGGUAAAGGCUCACCAAGGCGAUGAUACAUAGCCGACCUGAGAGGGUGAUCGGCCACAUUGGGACUGAGACACGGCCCAAACUCCUACGGGAGGCAGCAGUAGGGAAUCUUCGGCAAUAGACGAAAGUCUGACCGAGCAACGCCGCGUGAGUGAAGAGGGUUUUCGGAUCGUAAAACUCUGUUGGUAGAGAAGAACGUUGGUGAGAGUGGAAAGCUCAUCAAGUGACGGUAACUACCCAGAAAGGGACGGCUAACUACGUG
rnacentral:rRNA from 1 species